GACGAACGCUGGCGGCGUGCUUAACACAUGCAAGUCGAACGGUAAGGCCGGGCGUGGUACCCGAGCGGCGAACGGCUGAGGAAAACGUGGGUGAACUGUCCUGCACUCCGGGAUAAGGCGGGGCUAAUGGGUCUAAUACUGGACAGGACAACCUAUUGCAUGGUGGGGGGUGGAAAGCUUUAUCGGUGCUGGAUGGGACCGUGUUGGAUUAGCUUGGUGGUGGGGUAAAGGCGGUCCAAGGCGACGACCCGUAGCUGGGCUGGGAGGAUGCGCCGCCACGCUGGGAAUGAGACACGGCCCAGACUCCGACGGGAGGCAGCAGUGGGUAAUACUGGACAAUGGGCGAAAGUCUGAUCAAGCAAUGCCGCGGGAGUGAGGAAGGCCUUAGGGUUGUAAAGCUCUCUUAGACGGGAUGAUAAUGACAGUACCGGGAGAAUAAGCUCCGGCUAACUCCGUG
rnacentral:rRNA from 1 species